UCUGUUUAAAGACCAGGAGACCAAGGAGAAUCAGAAUCACUACAAGCAGGCCAGUUAGGAGACAACUGUAGCAAUGCAGAAUAAAGUUGGUGAUGGCCGCUCUGGUGAGAAAUGAAGCAGACAAAGUUGUUUACAAAGUGAAACCUAAGGACUCGGUGAGGGAAACAGUACAUGUGUGUCCUGGUAGAAUCUAGGUGAGCGGCUCUGGACCAGGAUUAGACACACACUGCACAGAUGGAACCAGGAUUGAACAGACACUGCACAGAUGGGACCAGAGCUGGACACACAUGGACACAGAUGGGACCAGGGCUGGACACACACUGCACAGAUGGGACCAGGGCUGGACACACAUGGACACAGAUGGGACCAGGGCUGGACACAGAUGGGACCAGGGCUGGACACACAUGGACACAGAUGGGACCAGGGCUGGACACACAUGGACACAGAUGGGACCAGGGCUGGACACACACUGCACAGGUGGGACCAGGGCUGGACACACACUGCACAGGUGGGACCAGGGCUGGACACACAUGGACACAGAUGGGACCAGGGCUGGACACAGAUGGGACCAGGGCUGGACACACAUGGACACAGAUGGGACCAGGGCUGGACACACAUGGACACAGAUGGGACCAGGGCUGGACACACACUGCACAGGUGGGACCAGGGCUGGACACACAUGGACACAGAUGAGACCAGGGCUGGACACAGACUGCACAGAUGGAACCAGGGCUGGACAC
rnacentral:lncRNA from 1 species